rnacentral:tmRNA from 1 species
GGGGGUGCUAGGCACUCGACGAUUUAGAACUUUAACAAGCUGCAAGCCGAGUUUGGACAAUACUCGUAAAACAGGUUCAAAACACAAGUGUCAACGAUUUCGUUGCACAAGUAAAAGGGGCAGUUGCAAAACUGAAUCCUUUUACUCCUCGCAAUUACGCAUUCGCGUAAUUCGGGCGUCUUAAUUUUGCUUCCUCGACUGCAUUAUUAAGGCGACAACCAAUCGAGGUGCCCCCGCAAGGCUGGCUAGCCAACUGCGGGGAAAGACUAAUUAACAAACAACUGUCGGCAGUUCCUUACCGAAUACGCUUGUAGAUGCUUUCAAAGUAAUAUUUCGGAUGUGGGUUCAAUUCCCACCACCUCCACAA